GACCAAGGAUGGUAAUCGAACCCACAGUGUUCCGUUUACCGGGCAGAUGCCAUAUCCACUAGGCUACCAUGAA
rnacentral:tRNA from 1 species